rnacentral:rRNA from 1 species
AUUGGACGCUGGCGGCAGGCUUAACACAUGCAAGUCGAGCGGGGUGAUGUAGCUUGCUACAUUACCUAGCGGCGGACGGGUGAGUAAUGCUUAGGAAUCUGCCUAUUAGUGGGGGACAACAUUCCGAGAGGAAUGCUAAUACCGCAUACGCCCUACGGGGGAAAGCAGGGGCUCUUCGGACCUUGCGCUAAUAGAUGAGCCUAAGUCAGAUUAGCUAGUUGGUGGGGUAAGGGCUUACCAAGGCGACGAUCUGCAGCGGGUCUGGGGGGGUGGUCCGCCAGACUGGGACUGAGAACCGGACCAGGCUCCUACGGGCGGCAGCCGUGGGGAAUAUUGGACAAUGGGGGAAAGCCUGAUCCAGCCAUGCCGCGUGUGUGAAGAAGGCCUUUUGGUUGUAAAGCACUUUAAGCGAGGAGGAGGCUACCGAGAUUAAUACUCUUGGAUAGUGGACGUUACUCGCAGAAUAAGCACCGGCUAACUCUGUGCCAGCAGCCGCGGUAAUAC